rnacentral:rRNA from 1 species
UACGUAGGGGGCGAGCGUUGUCCGGAAUUAUUGGGCGUAAAGGGCGUGUAGGCGGUAGAUUAAGUCAGAUGUGAAAGUUCAGGGCUCAACCCCGAAAUAGCAUUUGAAACUGGUUUACUUGAGUACUGGAGAGGUAAGCGGAAUUCCUAGUGUAGCGGUGAAAUGCGUAGAUAUUAGGAGGAACACCAGUGGCGAAGGCGGCUUACUGGACAGAUACUGACGCUGAGGCGCGAAAGCGUGGGGAGCAAACAGGAUUAGAUACCCUGGUAGUCCACGCUGUAAACGAUGAGUGCUAGGUGUUGGGGAGACUCAGUGCCGCAGUUAACACAAUAAGCACUCCGCCUGGGGAGUACGGUCGCAAGACUGAA